rnacentral:piRNA from 1 species
UAACCGUUGACUCAGGUGUCCUCAUGGUAGG